UCUUCCGAUCAUUUGAAACUGGUAGCAGUGUAACACAAUAUAUUCAGCUGUCUUGUUGAACAUGCUUAACAGUAUUGCAUAGCACCAUUAAUGGGUUCAGACUGAGAUCAAAUUCAAGAGUUUCUGAAUGGGAUGAGGGACGGCUCUCCUUU